UAAUAGGAGGAAACACCUCCAUGUUCACAGGGAAACAGCCAGAGUGAGGGAAAAGGUUCUGUGGAAAUACAGUAUGACUGGGAAAGACAAAUCAAAAGAGGGGCAGGUGCUGUAAAGAACCAUGGCCAUAACCUCACCUGGAAGUAGAGGAAGCAUUCCCUAUGGAAUAGUAGGAGAGCAAGCAUCUCUAGAUCACACUUCUGAUGACUUAAGGAACUUUACUGUGAGUCUCAGUACCAUAAACUGCUGAAUGAGGUGACUCAUGUUGGAGCAAAAAUGAGGACCCUUUUUUGUUUGAUUUUUUUUGUGUGUGUAGAGAUCAUUUCCAGUCACAUAGGAGAUUAGAAGGUAUAGAUUCUGCCCGCCAAUAUUUCCCUUCUGAAUUCUAUUUUUUGGUAGCCAGGUUCUAAGAUAAAAUAUCCUGUUAGAAGAAAUAUACCUAAAGACUCAAGUACUAGUUUAGAUCAUGCUGUAUAACAAAUAGACCUUGUAGUUCAUCUGGGGUAGGUUGUGGUUCCGCACAAAAGUACUGAGUUCCCCAAUUGGUUCUUGACUUGUCAAUAAAGAAGGUUAGGAGCCAAUUGCUGGGUGGAAAGUACAGGUGGGACUUCUAAGUCCUAAGAGGAAAAGGAGAUGCAGGGAAGGAGAGAAGGGACCUUUUUCUGCUGUGUUUUGGAGGAAAGCAGACACAGCAAUCAUUGUAAGGCCUCUGGGUAGCUAGGGCCUGCAGCCUCCUCUAUGAACGAAUGAUCAAACUAAGUUUAGGGCAGGGAAAGAAACAGAGUUAAUAGAUUGGUAAGGGCACGAAUUUCCCGGCAUGAGGUAUUUGUGCCCAGCAUUUGUGCCUAGCAGGCAAAUGCUAAACUACUAAAGCUGUCUGAGUGUCUUUUAUCUAAGGAUUCUAGGUUCUCAGGAGUGGACUGGUGAUUCAACCUCUCCCAGAAUAAAGGCUGGUAGGAAAGAGAAGCGGAGUCAGCGCUGGUAGUGGUUAUCCUGGAGCUGAGCCGUGUGAAACAGAAGGGAGUUGGGAGGGGCUGGUGCUGCAGCAGCAGUAGCAUGUCUUUUAAAACGACACACAACACAAAAGUCUUUGUUUUCCACACAUAAAAAGUAUGUUGGUGACUGGGCAUGUUUGCAGAGAAGCCAUUCUUACACUGUGGCUUUGUAAUCCUGUCUCCUUCUGUCUUGUGGAGACGCUGUCUCAGUACAAGUUCUGCUAGUGUAAGUAUGAGUUUCAGUCAUGAUCCUGCUGGGAUCCACCUUUAACACUUUAGAGAAGAAAGGGAAUCAUCGUAUUUAGUCUCGUAAUCGUGAAUGUUAGGAAAGUGCUCCUGAUGUCAGCGCCACACCACUAAAUGGAAGGACUCUGAUUCUUAGCCAAGUCACACAUUGUCACAGGUCUUGUGUUAAUGAAUGGUGAGUUUGAGUUUCAUGAAAGACUAGUGGCUGUGUGCGCAAAGAAUACAAUGGUGUUAAAAGAAUCAGUGUGGAAACAUUUCUUAGAGAAAUUAUAAAUAAUCUUGAAUAUGUCUAAAGACAAUGAACAUGGUUUUACUGACCACACUCAUCGAUGUUCAAACAGAAUAAAAGACAAUAGUAAAAACACAAAUGGAAAAACAGUCAAGCUAGCUGUUCCAGAGUCUACAUCUGAUCCUACACAUGGUCACCUCCAGCUUGGCAGGAAUGGACCUCCCCUCUCCUUUAUAAAGCAUGUCCGCCAUUAAAAAUUUGAACCUUGAAAAAAAAAAAAAAAGAAAAACAGUCAAAUACUGAAGAGAAAUGAUGCUACCAAAUAACUAAAUGAAGGAGUCGGUUUGCAAAGGAGUGCAAAGAGAGCUGGCAUUUUCAAAUAUGACAUAAAGAUUGUCCAUAUAGCCGUUGCCUAGCAUGUAUGAGGCCCAGCGUCAAGUCCCCAAGAACAUACCCACAGCCACUACAUAAACUGGAGUAAGAAUUCUGUGAUUGAAAGGACUUGGGGACCGGUGUGGUAUUUUAGUUGAUAAAGUGCUUGAGGAUCUGAAUUUAGAUCCUCUAGGACUCAUGUAAAAAGCUAGGCACAGUGGCACAUGUCUGUAAUCCUAGGAGACAGAUGUUUAUGGCUUGGUGCCUAGCCAGCCUAGUGUAAUCAGCAAACGGCUCCAAGUUCCUGAGAGUCCCUGACUCAAAACAUAAAAUGAAGAGUGAUUGAGGCUGGUACCUGAUACCAACCUCUGGUCUCACAUGAACUGAGCCAGGAGUGGAAGUGGGGAAGAGGAGAAGAAAAUGGAGGAGAACGAGAAGGAGGAGGAGGAAGAAAAAGAGGAAG
rnacentral:lncRNA from 1 species